rnacentral:rRNA from 1 species
AGUGAACGCUGGCGGUAGGCCUAACACAUGCAAGUCGAACGGCAGCACAGUAAGAGCUUGCUCUUACGGGUGGCGAGUGGCGGACGGGUGAGGAAUACAUCGGAAUCUACUUUUUCGUGGGGGAUAACGUAGGGAAACUUACGCUAAUACCGCAUACGACCUACGGGUGAAAGCAGGGGAUCUUCGGACCUUGCGCGAUUGAAUGGGCCGAUGUCGGAUUAGCUAGUUGGCGGGGUAAAGGCCCACCAAGGCGACGAUCCGUAGCUGGUCUGAGAGGAUGAUCAGCCACACUGGAACUGAGACACGGUCCAGACUCCUACGGGAGGAAGCAGUGGGGAAUAUUGGACAAUGGGCGCAAGCCUGAUCCAGCCAUACCGCGUGGGUGAAGAAGGCCUUCGGGUUGUAAAGCCCUUUUGUUGGGAAAGAAAAGCAGCAGGUUAAUACCCCGCUGUUCUGACGGUACCCAAAGAAUAAGCACCGGCUAACUUCGUG